UCAAAAGUGAUUACGUCGAGAGUGAGUGCCUCGUAAAUAAUAGCGAUCGAUGUUUAUCAGUCGUUAAACACACGGGCCCGCGAUCAGUCAACGCUUUGUCCUGAGGUUAGCGGCAGAAGCCGUGGCGAUAAACGCGCGUUAUAAUCUGAAUACAAUCGCGUGUCUUCGUCAGUCGCCGAGUGUCGAUCGCCGCGUAUAAACAAAUGUCGGGAACGUCGAGAAAAAGUAUCGGCCGAGAUUGCGUCACGAUUGCAUUGUGUUUAAACUUAACUGCAAACGAUGGUAAAUAAUUGGUGGAUUUGGCACUGCAUGGAAAUAUCUGGAAAGCAAUACAGCCGUCAGUGAGCAGUAUAAUACAGAUACAACGGCGAUACAUCGAUUGAAACGGAGAAGCAAUUUCAAGGACGAUUAAAGAGAUAAGCUACAGGAAAAUAAUUAUGUGGAUAAUUGAAUUAGAGAGAAUUGAAAGAGAAAAUGAUAUUUGAGAUAGGCGAAUCUGUGUGAGUGCAUUCUUUAUAAUUUCAAUUUUUUUAAUACUGAUAAAGAUUAACAUUUUUUAAUAUUUAAAGAUACACGUUUAAUUUAGGUUUUUUUUUAAUAAUAUUUCGAAAAUA